ACACCUGAAACGGGCGUCAGUGAGCUGUGGGCUGACAAGCCAACAGGAACCGUCCCUUGCUCCCACCACCAGCCGGCAGCGGUUUGCCCUUGGCUGCACAUGAGAAUCACUCAAAUCACCUCGGGAGCUGCUCCCCGGCCACUGAAAUCAGAACUAACCAAGUGUAUCUGUAUUUUGAAACUCCCCAGGUGCGACUGAAGUUGAGACCCACUGCAUACUCGGGGAAGGGAACUUCAGCGACGUGAGCCCCGCCCACUGGCCUGGCCUUCAGAGAAUCCGCCCAGGCUUCUUUAUGGAUUUCUACCCGUCUGAACACUCUACCUUACCCCGGCUGGUGAAGUGUCCCAUCUCUGACAUGUUGCAAUGAUGCACAUGUUACAGAAUGCCUUUACCACAAGGAAUUUCUCCUUUAGCCAGAUUUUCUCUUUGCCCUGACAUACAUGGGUUUUGACACACUUCUAUCAAGGGUCAGACAGUACAUAUUUGAGGCUUUAAGGGCCAUGUGGUCGCUGUUGCAACCACUCGACUCUGCCACUGUGGCACUACAGCAGCCCUCGGACAACACAUAAAUCGGUGGGUGUGGCUGAGCGCCAAUAAAGCCGUUUGCAGAACCAGGCAGCAGGCCAGACCUAACCCACAGCCGUGAGUCUGCAAACUCCUGACACAAGUUCUUUUCAGUUUUGAUUCUGUGAAAAGAAAGAGUAUAAGAAUCUUUCCUUUGAAAGACUUAAGACAGUUCCUAAUUCACCUUCUUUUGCUUCUAAAUCUUUCUGGAGUGCUUAUUUUUAAAGUGUUCUUUUUCUUUCUCCCUCUCAAGUUCUCCUCUAUUGUGCUGGCUCAUGUCGUCCCAAAGACCAUUCUCAUGAGAAUUAUCCAAGCCUGUGUUUAUUUAGACUGACGGGGAAUGAAUUAUGGAAAGAAAGUCAGAAACGAAGACAGUGACAAUUCUAAAGUUCAAUGUGCUAGGUACUAGGGAGAGGGGUGGUCUUCCCCAUUACCUGGUCAGGAGACUGUCCCAUGGAAGCUUCAUGACUGUGUGCUGUUCACUUUUCUCUAAGAUGCAGUCACACAGGAUGGGAUCCAAGUGCACAAGACUAAAGGGAAAGAAGAGGCUAUUAAUAGAGAAGUCCUAGCCUCGCCCCUUCUCAGGGCCCAGCUCAGAAUUCACCUCUUAUCAUAACACCCUUUUUAGCCAGGAUUACUAGAAUCAAAAUGGGACCACACUCCAUGAAACAAUGCACCCCGCAAGUAUGCUUUCCCAGAACAAGGGAGAAGCGGGCUGUGGGGGGAAAGUGGGAUGGGGAAAACUGAAGACCGGGAGUCUUGGCUCAGUUCUGCUACUAGCUAGCUAUGAGUAGGCCAGUACAACCUUCUGAUCAUAUGGAUGUCUUUUAAAAGUGAAAAUAAGCCCGGCCGGUGUGGCUCAGGGGUCGAGUAUUGACCUAUGAAACAGGAGGUCACGGUUCGAUUCCUCGUCAGGACACAAGCCUGGGGUCUGGGGAGUGCAGGAGGGAGCUGAUCACUAAUGUUUCUCUCCCUCUCCCUUCCGCUCUGAAAUCAAUAAAAAUUAAAAAUAAAUAUUAUGGAAUGCUUUUCA